AACGAGCGCAACCCUUAUCCCCAGUUGCCAUCAGGUAAAGCUGGGAACUCUGGGGAGACUGCCGGUGAGUAAACCGGAGGAAGGCGGGGAAUGACGUCAAGUCCUCAUGGCCCUUACGAUCCCGGGCUACACACGUGCUACAAUGGCAGGUACAGAGGGCUGCAAAGCCGCGAGGUAGAGCGAAUCCCAGAAAACCUGUCUCAGUCCGGAUUGAAGUCUGCAACUCGACUUCAUGAAGGCGGAAUCGCUAGUAACCGCGAAUCAGCAGGUCGCGGUGAAUACGUUCCCGGGCCUU
rnacentral:rRNA from 1 species